rnacentral:rRNA from 1 species
AUACGGAGGGUGCAAGCGUUACACGGAAUCACUGGGCGUAAAGCGCGCGCAGGCGGCUUGAUAAGUUGGAUGUGAAAGCCUACGGCUCAACCGUAGAACUGCAUCCAAAACUGUCAGGCUAGAGUGUGGGAGAGGAAGAUGGAAUUAGUUGUGUAGGGGUAAAAUCCGUAGAGAUAACUAGGAAUACCAAAAGCGAAGGCAAUCUUCUGGAACACUACUGACGCUGAGGCGCGAAGGCGUGGGGAGCAAACAGGAUUAGAAACCCUGGUAGUCC